rnacentral:tRNA from 1 species
CGGGGUGUGGCGCAGUUGGUAGCGCGCCUGCUUUGGGAGCAGGAGGUCGCCGGUUCGAGUCCGGUCACCCCGACCC